AGUGCCCGCCCGCUGGGUCAUCGGUGCUGCUGUUUGUUCGGGCUCAGUGUUUUAAGUGUCACAGGCUCAAGUGUUAGCAAAAAACCUGGAAAGUGGUAACUGGGAAGGACCAUUUCCUUUAAUAACCGGGGGAAGAGACGAUGCUGGUGUCUCCACAGGUCACAGUCCCUGGUGGUUACCGGCAGGGUGUCUGCAGCCAUACCUGAAUCUUGAGAGGCAGCUUUUGGUGGACACUCAGGAGCCGGCUGUGGGUGCUGUGGGUGCCCCUGUGCCGACAGUUUGCGG